GAUGAACGCUGGCGGCGUGCCUAAUACAUGCAAGUCGAGCGAACCACUUCGGUGGUGAGCGGCGAACGGGUGAGUAACACGUAGGUGAUCUGCCCAUCAGACGGGGACAACGAUUGGAAACGAUCGCUAAUACCGGAUAGGACGAAAGUUUAAAGGUGCUUCUAGCACCGCUGAUGGAUGAGCCUGCGGCGCAUUAGCUAGUUGGUAGGGUAAAGGCCUACCAAGGCGACGAUGCCUAGCCGACCCGAGAGGGUGAACGGCCACACUGGGACUGAGACACGGCCCAGACUCCUACGGGAGGCAGCAGUAGGGAAUCUUCGGCAAUGGGCGAAAGCCUGACCGAGCAACGCCGCGUGAAUGAUGAAGGCCUUCGGGUUGUAAAAUUCUGUUAUAAGGGAAGAACGACUUUAGUAGGAAAUGGCUAGAGUGUGACGGUACCUUAUGAGAAAGCCACGGCUAACUACGUGCCAGCCGCCGCCGUAA
rnacentral:rRNA from 1 species